rnacentral:lncRNA from 1 species
CCCCUCCCGCCCCCAAACUGCAGAUUUUUAAGUUGUGCAGACGUGGAACAAUUCCUCGGAGCCAGCUGCUCCAAGCUAAGGCGCCCAGUGUUCCCUGGGUUCCUACCCGCAGCAUACGCCCUGCCAGCUGCCCCCAAGCCAGCACCCGCUGACCACUCACCUCAGGCAAGCACCUAGGAAGACGAUGCAGAUUCAAGCUCCAGACCUUGAGCCAAGCGCUGGGGAGGGAAUGGGGGCAAAGAGAUGGUGGAAAACACUUUCCUGAACUUACUGAAUACCCUAUGUUAUGUGUGGGUUUUCUAAUUGUUCUUUGCUUAAUGAAAAACCCACGUUGGAAAUCAGAAAAAGGCAGUAAUCCUCACCGUAUCUUGUGGGCUUCAAAGAGGAGGUUUUCCCCUUAAAGGGAGUUUUGGUCCAGAGGAGAGGCUAACAGCAGGCAGGAAGGGCAGAGGAAAAGAUAAAGCCUAGGGUGGUCUUCCCCCUGAGGCCUGGAGCCCACCAAGCUCCAACAGUUUCAUUUGGCUUCUGGGAAGCAAAGUACAGAUGCAUGUGUCUGCAGAGCACUGUUCUGAGCCAUUUGUCCCUAAUUCCAUGGUUCUUUGGUUCCUCCAAUCUUGUCUCCUCUCCUGUGGAAGAGGAUCCAAAGCAUUGGUCCACACUGCUAUUUACAAGUGGCUGAAGAAGGUAACUUUCUUACAUAGUUCAUCUUUAGCAUAAGCUCUAAGAUUGUUCUAAAAAUAUAUUUACAUUUUAUCAACACCUUAGAAGAAUGCUUCCAGAUCUCUCCCAGCAGUUACCUAUUUAAUCAUUUUAAAAUCACUAAGUUUAUCCAAAAAGUCCAGCAUGGUUUACUUGAGAAGGAAAUAUGUUCAGAAUCUCUAAGCACUGCAGAAGGCACCUGCAGUGCAGAAGAGUUGGCAGUGAGGUCUUUCUCCUGGGGUCUGGGCGGAACAUGUGAGCAGUCGGGAAGGCACACACAGUGGGAGCCAGUAAGGGCCCCUGUGCAUCUGCAGGAGCUGAGGACAGAAGGGGUGGGCCUCCACGGUGGGCAUGUAGGAGUGGGCACAGAGAAGGGCCACAGAUCUGAGACAGAGACAGACAGGACUUCUUACCCUGCUGAGCCCUGCAGGGAGCCACUUCGUCUUUCAGCCCUGAUUUUGUCAUCUGUAAGGAAAUUUCCUCUCUCCCAGGGUAAUCAUGUGAAGCCAAUGAAAUAAUAAAAAGGACCACAUCGGAUGACCCCUGAGGCAGGUCUGCUCCCCAAAAGUUUACUCUUGAAUGUUGACCAAGGUUGAGCUAGGCAAAGUGGUAAAUUCACACACACGGUAUGUAGCCCCUUCCCCAACCCCAGUCUCCAUUACCGGGGGCAUGCUGUGAACUAACUGCCUCCUUUUCCCCACACACCCACUUCCUGCCCAGUCUUUAUGCCUCCCGAUAUGACAUCCCGUUCCCUCUUAAUUAACUGUGCCUAUAGAGAAACAUCUAGAUAAACCAUGCAUUUAAUCUGUGAGGGGUCAAUCAUUUAAUCAUCGUUGACAAUAAUGCUCACUCCUCUGUGGUUUCAGAGGACUCCUGGAGUGGAUGGAGACACAUGCCACUAAUGUGGGAUGCAUUUCAGUCUGUCUUCCAGGCCUCGUUUGGAGGUCUCCCUCUCUUACCCACCUAUCACACAUCCAUGUCUUCCCUUCCCUCCCCAGAGCCAAACCUGUCCCCGACUUUUUAUUCUCACUAAAGUUCAAAUGACAGAAAUCAGCUAGAUUAGUACUUGCCUUAGUCCUGAAGGAAAGGGAAGUGCUCAUUAGCUUCUUAAAUUGGAACAGGUCUGCAGGUGAAAAUGAAGAUGUGCUCAUCUCUGGCAGGAAGGUUGGGAGUGAGGGGUAUAGUCAUAAUGAGCAGCGUUUAUUUGGUGUGUGCCUCUCACUUGCCACUUUCUACCCAGCUGCCUGAAUAUCACUCCAGUUAGUCUGAGCACAUGAAACACCUGCAACUCCCCAGACCCACCAUGCUUUUUCUUGACUCUCUGAAUGCACAGCAGUGCCUCCUCAGCUAAGAACACAGUUCCCCAUCACCAAGCUUUGCUUUGCCCAACAGACCCCUUCUCCCUUAGGAUGAGAUUCAGUGGAUAAUCACAUCAUAAUCACGACCCUCUGGGAAGCCGCCUCUCUCAUCCUGGGUUGUGUGUUGUGUGUUUCCUUUCCACACUCCCUCAGCAGCCUUUGCCUCCCACUUUCAUAGAAUCUACCAUAUGGGAUUUUAACUGUUUGUCUUCCACUAGACAAUAAGCUCCUUGAAGACUGAAUUUCCAGGAACUUCUGUUGGAUCUGCAUGUUUGUGAAGUGAAUUACUGAAGGCUGCCCAGUUUCAUCUGAUCCUAGUCAAAACCUAAAUCCCUUAUUUCUACGCUACCUUUUGCCAGCACCUGAAAAUGAUGCCAGGUUUCUGGAAUCCACGGCAGCAAUGGGUGAUAAGUCUCCAG